UGGAGGGGAUUUUUCCGCAAUGGGCGAAAGCCUGACGGAGCAAUGCCGCGUGGAGGUGGAAGGCCUACGGGUCGUCAACUUUACUUUUCUCGGAGAAGAAACAAUGACGGUAUCUGAGGAAUAAGCAUCGGCUAACUCUGUGCCAG
rnacentral:rRNA from 1 species